GGAUCGAUGAUGACACCCUUGUAUACAUUCCUUGGAAAAUCUGAACAAAAUGCAUGAGAACACUCUACUGUCUCCUCAUCGAAACUGAGGUCC